rnacentral:rRNA from 1 species
CUACGGGCGGCUGCAGUGAGGAAUAUUGCACAAUGGGGGGAACCCUGAUGCAGCAACGCCGCGUGGAGGAUGACGCAUUUCGGUGUGUAAACUCCUUUUAUAUGUCAAGAAAAUGACGGUAGCAUAUGAAUAAGCACCGGCUAGCUCCGUGCCAGCAGCCGCGGUAAUACGGAGGGUGCAAGCGUUACUCGGAAUCACUGGGCGUAAAGGACGCGUAGGCGGGUUGGAAAGUCAGGUGUGAAAUCCUACAGCUUAACUGUAGAACUGCACUUGAAACUUCUAAUCUAGAGUAUGGGAGGGUGAGAUGGAAUUAGUGGUGUAGGGGUAAAAUCCGUAGAUAUCACUAGGAAUACCUAAAGCGAAGGCGAUCUCCUGGAACAUUACUGACGCUAAGGCGUGAAAGCGUGGGGAGCAAACAGGAUUAGAUACCCGCGUAGUC